CACGUAGGGACCAAGCGUUGUCCGGAUUCAUUGGGCGUAAAGAGCUCGUAGGCGGCUCAGUAAGUCGGGUGUGAAACCUCCAGGCUCAACCUGGAGACGCCACCCGAUACUGCUGUGGCUAGAGUCCAGUAGGGGAGCGUGGAAUUCCUGGUGUAGCGGUGAAAUGCGCAGAUAUCAGGAGGAACACCAGCGGCGAAGGCGGCGCUCUGGGCUGGAACUGACGCUGAGGCGCGAAAGCUAGGGGAGCGAACGGG
rnacentral:rRNA from 1 species